AUGACGCGGUUUGGUUUUGAUCCGGUGUGUAUCACGAUGGUAAUGAGAUGCGUCACUUUGGCGCGGUUUUCUGUUAAGCUAAAUGGUGGGCUAUCCAGGAGUUUUACUCCGUCUCGUGGCCUAAGACAGGGGGAUCCGUUGUCACCAUAUUUGUUUCUUUUCUGUGCGGAGGGUUUUUCAGCUCUUCUCAAGAAGGCUCAAGCUGACAAACAGCUUUCCGGGGUGAAGUUUGGGAGCACUGGCCCCCAAGUAACUCACUUGAUGUUUGCAGAUGAUAGCAUAGUUUUCCUUGAGGGAACCAAGGAGAAUAUGGAAACGUUAAAACAGAUUCUUGAAAAGUAUGAAAAAGCAUCCGGACAGAAAGUAAAUUUGUAG
rnacentral:rRNA from 1 species